rnacentral:rRNA from 1 species
UACAGAGGUCCCGAGCGUUUGUUCGGAUUCAUUGGGCGUAAAGGGUGCGUAGGCGGGCGGGGUAAGUUUGAUGUGAAAUCCCGGGGCUCAACCCUGGAAUUGCAUUGAAUACUACCUUGCUAGAGUACCGGAGAGGAAACUGGAAUUUACGGUGUAGCAGUGAAAUGCGUAGAUAUCAGGAAGAACACCCGUGGCGAAAGCGGCUCUCUGGAACGGUACUGACGCUGAGACGCGAAAGCGUGGGGAGCAA